rnacentral:rRNA from 1 species
GGGGUGUGACUGCGUACCUUUUGUAUAAUGGGUCAGCGACUUAUAUUCUGUAGCAAGGUUAACCGUAUAGGGGAGCCGUAGGGAAACCGAGUCUUAACCGGGCGUUAAGUUGCAGGGUAUAGACCCGAAACCCGGUGAUCUAGCCAUGGGCAGGUUGAAGGUUGGGUAACACUAACUGGAGGACCGAACCGACUAAUGUUGAAAAAUUAGCGGAUGACCUGUGGCUGGGGGUGAAAGGCCAAUCAAACCGGGAGAUAGCUGGUUCUCCCCGAAAGCUAUUUAGGUAGCGCCUCGUGAAUUCAUCUCCGGGGGUAGAGCACUGUUUCGGCUAGGGGGCCAUCCCGGCUUACCAACCCGAUGCAAACUGCGAAUACCGGAGAAUGUUAUCACGGGAGACACACGGCGGGUGCUAACGUCCGUCGUGAAGAGGGAAACAACCCAGACCGCCAGCUAAGGUCCCAAAGUCAUGGUUAAGUGGGAAACGAUGUGGGAAGGCCCAGACAGCCAGGAUGUUGGCUUAGAAGCAGCCAUCAUUUAAAGAAAGCGUAAUAGCUCACUGGUCGAGUCGGCCUGCGCGGAAGAUGUAACGGGGCUAAACCAUGCACCGAAGCUGCGGCAGCGAACGUAUCACCCAAGACAACUUUACGGAGUUGACGAUUGACGGAGCGAAGCGACGUCAAAGCGUUCAUUAAAGUCGAGUUGGCUUAGGGAUACGUUCGUUGGGUAGGGGAGCGUUCUGUAAGCCUGUGAAGGUGUGUCGUGAGGCAUGCUGGAGGUAUCAGAAGUGCGAAUGCUGACAUAAGUAACGAUAAAGCGGGUGAAAAGCCCGCUCGCCGGAAGACCAAGGGUUCCUGUCCAACGUUAAUCGGGGCAGGGUGAGUCGACCCCUAAGGCGAGGCCGAAAGGCGUAGUCGAUGGGAAACGGGUUAAUAUUCCCGUACUUGGUGUUACUGCGAAGGGGGGACGGAGAAGGCUAUGUUGGCCGGGCGACGGUUGUCCCGGUUUAAGCGUGUAGGUGUGUGUUCCAGGUAAAUCCGGUUCACUUUAACACUGAGGCGUGACGACGAGGCACUACGGUGCUGAAGCAACAAAUGCCCUGCUUCCAGGAAAAGCCUCUAAGCAUCAGGUAACACGAAAUCGUACCCCAAACCGACACAGGUGGUCAGGUAGAGAAUACCAAGGCGCUUGAGAGAACUCGGGUGAAGGAACUAGGCAAAAUGGUGCCGUAACUUCGGGAGAAGGCACGCUGACACGUAGGUGAAGUGAUUUACUCAUGGAGCUGAAGUCAGUCGAAGAUACCAGCUGGCUGCAACUGUUUAUUAAAAACACAGCACUGUGCAAACACGAAAGUGGACGUAUACGGUGUGACGCCUGCCCGGUGCCGGAAGGUUAAUUGAUGGGGUCAGCGCAAGCGAAGCUCCUGAUCGAAGCCCCGGUAAACGGCGGCCGUAACUAUAACGGUCCUAAGGUAGCGAAAUUCCUUGUCGGGUAAGUUCCGACCUGCACGAAUGGCGUAAUGAUGGCCAGGCUGUCUCCACCCGAGACUCAGUGAAAUUGAACUCGCUGUGAAGAUGCAGUGUACCCGCGGCAAGACGGAAAGACCCCGUGAACCUUUACUAUAGCUUGACACUGAACAUUGAGCCUUGAUGUGUAGGAUAGGUGGGAGGCUUUGAAGUGUGGACGCCAGUCUGCAUGGAGCCGACCUUGAAAUACCACCCUUUAAUGUUUGAUGUUCUAACGUGGACCCGUAAUCCGGGUUGCGGACAGUGUCUGGUGGGUAGUUUGACUGGGGCGGUCUCCUCCUAAAGAGUAACGGAGGAGCACGAAGGUUGGCUAAUCCUGGUCGGACAUCAGGAGGUUAGUGCAAUGGCAUAAGCCAGCUUGACUGCGAGCGUGACGGCGCGAGCAGGUGCGAAAGCAGGUCAUAGUGAUCCGGUGGUUCUGAAUGGAAGGGCCAUCGCUCAACGGAUAAAAGGUACUCCGGGGAUAACAGGCUGAUACCGCCCAAGAGUUCAUAUCGACGGCGGUGUUUGGCACCUCGAUGUCGGCUCAUCACAUCCUGGGGCUGAAGUAGGUCCCAAGGGUAUGGCUGUUCGCCAUUUAAAGUGGUACGCGAGCUGGGUUUAGAACGUCGUGAGACAGUUCGGUCCCUAUCUGCCGUGGGCGCUGGAGAACUGAGGGGGGCUGCUCCUAGUACGAGAGGACCGGAGUGGACGCAUCACUGGUGUUCGGGUUGUCAUGCCAAUGGCACUGCCCGGUAGCUAAAUGCGGAAGAGAUAAGUGCUGAAAGCAUCUAAGCACGAAACUUGCCCCGAGAUGAGUUCUCCCUGAGACUUAGAGUCUCCUGAAGGAACGUUGAAGA